rnacentral:lncRNA from 1 species
CAUCCAUAUCAGGCUCUCUACAGUGUUUUCCCAGAUGCAUUUCUUCCAUUUGUGCAUCCAAGAGUACAUUAUUCAAAGAAUCAUCAGGAUCAGGUUCAGAAUCUCUUGGAUUGCUUGUGUCUACCUUGUUUGACCUGGUACCUGUUGAAUCAGUCUCCUUGGCUAAUUUAAUAUCUUCACCACCUAAGGUAUCAUCUGGAUCAGGUUCACUUCUAGACACUAUCAAUCCUCUAGCAUGGGAAUCAUCAGGAUCAGGUUCAGACAUGUUCUUACUAUCCAAGCAAUCAUAGGGGUCAGGUUCAGACUCGUUCUUUUUAUUAAAGGAAUCAUCAGGGUCAGGUUCAGAAAUGUCCUUAUUAUCCAAGGAAUCAUCAGGGUCAGGUUCAGAAAUGUUCUUAUUAUCCAAGGAAUUUUCGGGGUCAGGCUCAGACAUGUUCUUAUGGUCCAAGGAAUCAUCAGGGUCAAGCUCAUCAAGCAUAUCAAGCAUUGAUGAUUUCGAAAAGGGUCUCCUGGCAUCCAUAACCAUAUCCACAAGCAUGGCAUCAUUCUCUGAAGUCACCAUAUCAUCUGGGUCAG